GUCUGGGUGGUGUAGUUGGUUAUCACGUUAGUCUCACACACUAAAGGUCCCCAAUUCGAACCUGGGCUCAGACA
rnacentral:tRNA from 1 species